UACGAACCGUCCAAACGUUAAUCGGAAUUACUGGGCGUAAAGUGUGCGCAGGUGGCCGCGCAAGUCGAGUGUGAAAUCCCCGAGCUUAACUUGGGAAUUGCGCUCGAAACUACGUGGCUCGAGUGUGGCAGAGGAAGGUGGAAUUCCACGUGUAGCGGUGAAAUGCGUAGAGAUGUGGAGGAACACCGAUGGCGAAGGCAGCCUUCUGGGCCAACACUGACGCUCAUGCACGAAAGCGUGGGGAGCAAACAGG
rnacentral:rRNA from 1 species